UUCGUCAGGCGCGAUGGAUCUCGCCAGGGCUUGUCCCGAACCGCCACUGACGGCUGAUAGUUCCUGUGUUGAU
rnacentral:ncRNA from 14 species